rnacentral:rRNA from 1 species
UGGGGAAUAUUGCACAAUGGGCGCAAGCCUGAUGCAGCCAUGCCGCGUGUGUGAAGAAGGCCUUCGGGUUGUAAAGCACUUUCAGCGAGGAGGAAGGUGGUGAGCUUAAUACGCUCAUCAAUUGACGUUACUCGCAGAAGAAGCACCGGCUAACUCCGUGCCAGCAGCCGCGGUAAUACGGAGGGUGCAAGCGUUAAUCGGAAUUACUGGGCGUAAAGCGCACGCAGGCGGUUUGUUAAGUCAGAUGUGAAAUCCCCGGGCUCAACCUGGGAACUGCAUUUGAAACUGGCAAGCUAGAGUCUCGUAGAGGGGGGUAGAAUUCCAGGUGUAGCGGUGAAAUGCGUAGAGAUCUGGAGGAAUACCGGUGGCGAAGGCGGCCCCCUGGACGAAGACUGACGCUCAGGUGCGAAAAGCGUGGGGAGCAAACA